UUCAUUUUCUUUUAAAGUUGCAGAUUAUGAAUCGCGAACCCGAUAAAUAUUUUAUGCAAUAAUUAUAUCGACAAUUUUAUUCGAUAUGAUUCGGGAAUAAUGCCACAGUAAAGUAUUAAAUCGUUAUUUUAUAAAAUAUGUAGCAAUAUAGAUCUCUAGAAGCAUAAUCUAAAGUUGACCCGGUCGGAUAAAGUAAGUAGCGUAAUCAAAGGCCUCUCGAGGUGUAUUUCGAUUGAUUGUGAAAUACUUCUCUAUAUGUGGGGUAUAUAUAUAGUCUAUACCCGCACAAGUGAACUGUGUACAUGUAACGUGUAUGGAAAAUUAACAGACAAAACAAUCAAAUCCAAUAAAAUAUGGCGGGGCGUUUAAAUGAUAAAAAGGAAUUAACAACCGUAGCAAACAUUAGAAAAUUUAACUUGAAUAAGAUGGGUUAUAAAGACUUAGAGGACUGGUUGAGUGACCCUAAUCAUGUCUACAUAGGGAGGAACAUGACUCACUAUGUGAAAGGAGCAGUCGGCAGCAAAUGGGGAAACCCCUUCAACUCAAAAACGGAUGGCAGAGAAGAGCGUGUUCGAAUGUACAAAGAGUAUAUUAAGACGAACAAAGAAAUCCGCGAAAACGGGCGAACUUUGUACGAUUCGCUGGAAGAGCUGAGGGGCAGGGUGCUGGAGUGCUGGUGUCACCCAGAACGAUGUCAUGGGCAUGCUCUUGUGGAAUUGCUAGAGGAAACAUCAAAAUGAUCAAAAACUCUAGACUUGUAUGAACACUAAAACUAAGGCUUCUUAUGUGUCAGUUCAGCGUCCGGAAUGGGUCUCAGAAAGAACGACAAGCUCUGUCAUACGGGGAUAAUGAAUUCCCGCUCGUUAGCUACAUAUUCAUGUAAUUAUAUUUCGGCGUGUCCAUCUGAUAUACUCAACGAACAUUCGAUAUCAAUGUACAUGUAUUUAGACAUCUAUAUUAUUGUUUUACAUAAAUAUUGUAUGUCAA